rnacentral:tRNA from 1 species
GAGGGUAUAGCUCAGUGGUAGAGAAUGUGCAUACAUGCACGAGGUCCUGGGUUCAAUUCCCAGUACCUCCA